rnacentral:sRNA from 1 species
UCGCCGAAAGGCGUUUAAGUGGCGGCAAC